CUAAAAGCCUUCUACUUUUUCAUUAAAAGUGUAAAUUGAUCUUUGUGAUAGUAACCCCAUAAGCCUGGAGAUGGUACCCAAACUGUAAACUGGAAGAAGCUGAUACCAUAAUAUGAUCAAAAAUUAGAACAUCGAUAUCAAAACUCAUAAGGGGGCCAACACAAUCCUGGAAAUUCCCUCAUAUUCCCCAGCUUCAGCCCUUUGUGCGCAUAUCACAGAGGAGCUGUGGUGGUAGUCUCCAGCCUGGGAGCAGCAGGAUACUGUGGAAACUUUGCUGGAGAGAUGGGCAACAGAAACCAGGUGGGACACUCAAGAGUCAGCCUUUCCUAACAGGAGCUCUCCUGGUCUGGAGGUGAACGGGUAGUGAUGGGGAAGAGGAUCUGAGGAAAGGGCUGUGCAAGACUGCAGCUGCUUCCUGGGAGCACAACCACCGUGGCUAUAGUCCCUGAAGUGCUCCUGAGAAAUCUACCCACAUAUACAG
rnacentral:lncRNA from 1 species